GGUUCUGGGUUCGUCUGUCUAUGCGCGCUUGGCUCUUUCGUCCAUGUUUUGAGCAUUUUGUUUCGGAGAUUUUGAUAAUUUGUGCCGAGUAACCGCCUUUGGAUUGAAUGGAGUCUGGGUCUGUCGUUUGAAACGGGUCAGAGUGUUUUGGAAAGAUGGUUAUUCGUAUGUUUAUUCGAAUGCUGAGUGCUGCUUGGGAUCUCUUUUGCAUACCAAGAAUGCUCCCGUUUUGUAAAGUAACCCACAAUACAAAUUCUUGGAUUCUUUUCUACUGGGUAUCCUGAGCAUCGUAUGGAUUAGCAUCAUUCUUGGCUGUGACGAUAACAUGAUUAAUUGAAGUGUAUCCAUAUGAUUAUUCGAAUGCUGAGUGCUGCUCGGGAUCUCUCUUGCAUACCAAGAAUGUUCCCGUUUUGUAAAGUAAACCACAAUACAAAUUCUUGGAUUCUUUUCUACUGGGUAUCCUGAGCAUCGUAUGGAUUAGCAUCAUUCUUGGCUAUGACGAUACCAUGAUUAAUUGAAGUGAUGCUAUGUGUUACCCCUUUCUCGACUUCCAGGGAUAUGGCACGGUAAAGCAUGGACAUGUGGUUGUAGCUUUCUCUACUCCCAUCUCAUGUGGCUGUGGACAUUUGGAUUCGUAUUCCUUUAGCCAGCAAGUCCAUGCACUGCCUUAUGCCUUAAAGUAUCAGAUUGGUUGCUGCUCUUUUGUUUCGGGAGAUACCUGUGAAUGUAAUGGGUUGAAUCAGAAAUGGGGUUUGAGUUUUGAUUCAGCACAUUGCAACAGAUUCCAGUGCGUUGAGUGGUGUGUGUUGGAGGUGGAUUCUUUGUGAAUUACGUUUUAAUAGGAGAAUCCAUUGAGGUAACGCAGAUAUCCAGGCACGGGUGAAUACGACAAGUAUUUUGAAGAGGGGGUGUACAAUUGUGUAGGAUGCGGGACUCCUCUUUACCAGUCUACAACUAAAUUUAACUCUGGCUGUGGCUGGCCUGCUUUCUAUGAGGGCCUCCCCGGAGCUAUAACCAGCACUGGGGAUUGAGAUGGGAUGAGGACGGAAAUCAUUUGCACUGCAUGUGGCGGCCAUCUGGGUCACGUGUUCAAGGGCGAAGGGUUCCCGACACCAACUGAUGAGCGGCAUUGCGUCAAUAGUAUUUCACUCAAGUUUGUUCUUUCCAACUCUUAUCCUUCCCAGUGAACUUCUGCAGCUAGACUGGUCGGUCGUCACCGGAUGCAGCCUUCAACUGCUGCUGUUAUCUGAGAUUGUUUGCUUCUGAUUUCCGCGCUAUGUACAAUAAGCUCUUCUCAUAAAUCUUUCCGAUCUGGAUUGAACUCAGAUAUUUAUUGCCGUCUCUCGAGUAAAUAAAAAUCGGAAUCUUUUUUUUUUGUUAUCCA